GAUGAACGCUGGCGGCGUGCCUAAUACAUGCAAGUCGAGCGAACGGACGAGAAGCUUGCUUCUCUGAUGUUAGCGGCGGACGGGUGAGUGACACGUGGAUAACCUACCUAUAAGACUGGGAUAACUUCGGGAAACCGUAGCUAAUACCGGAUAAUAUUUUGAACCGCAUGGUUCAAAAGUGAAAGACGGUCUUGCUGUCACUUAUAGAUGGAUCCGCGCUGCAUUAGCUAGUUGGUAAGGUAACGGCUUACCAAGGCAACGAUGCAUAGCCGACCUGAGAGGGUGAUCGGCCACACUGGAACUGAGACACGGUCCAGACUCCUACGGGAGGCAGCAGUAGGGAAUCUUCCGCAAUGGGCGAAAGCCUGACGGAGCGACGCCGCGUGAGUGAUGAAGGUCUUCGGAUCGUAAAACUCUGUUAUUAGGGAAGAACAUAUGUGUAAGUAACUGUGCACAUCUUGACGGUACCUAAUCAGAAAGCCACGGCUAACUACGUG
rnacentral:rRNA from 1 species